CCGGCGCACGGGUGAGUAACACGUAUGCAACCUGGCCGUCACAGGUGGAUAACCGGAAGAAAUUCCGACUAAUACAGCAUAACACUCCUGAGGGACAUCUUUCGGGAGUCAAAGGAGGCAACUCCGGUGACGGAUGGGCAUGCGGCGCAUUAGGUAGUUGGUAGGGUAACGGCCUACCAAGCCGACGAUGCGUAGGGGUUCUGAGAGGAAGGUCCCCCACACUGGUACUGAGACACGGACCAGACUCCUACGGAAGGCAGCAG
rnacentral:rRNA from 1 species